ACGUGUUCUCAGGGCGGGGUGAAAGUCCCCACCGGCGGUGAUGGCGACUUUUGCCUCAGCCCGCGAGCGCCCGAUCCGGUUCCUGCGUCUCUUUCCUGGCGACGCGGCCAAGAUCGGGGUCAGCAGAUUCGGUGCGAUUCCGAAGCCGACGGUGAUAGUCCGGAUGGAAGAGAACGGCU
rnacentral:ncRNA from 2 species